rnacentral:rRNA from 1 species
CCUACGGGUGGCAGCAGUGAGGAAUAUUGGUCAAUGGGCGGAAGCCUGAACCAGCCAAGUCGCGUGAGGGAAUAAGGCCCUACGGGUCGUAAACCUCUUUUGUCGGGGAGCAAGGGCCGGUACGUGUCCCGUCCCGGAGAGUACCCGGAGAAAAAGCAUCGGCUAACUCCGUGCCAGCAGCCGCGGUAAUACGGAGGAUGCGAGCGUUAUCCGGAUUUGUUGGGUUUAAAGGGUGCGUAGGCGGGCUUUUAAGUCAGCGGUAAAAAUUCGGGGCUCAACCCCGUCCGGCCGUUGAAACUGGGGGCCUUGAGUGGGCGAGAAGAAGGCGGAAUGCGUGGUGUAGCGGUGAAAUGCAUAGAUAUCACGCAGAACCCCGAUUGCGAAGGCAGCCUUCCGGCGCCCUACUGACGCUGAGGCACGAAAGUGCGGGGAUCGAACAGGAUUAGAUACCCUUGUAGUC